rnacentral:rRNA from 13 species
AAAGGAUGUGGAGUUGCGUAGACAACCAGGAGGUUGGCUUGGAAGCAGCCAUCCUUGAAAGAGUGCGUAAUAGCUCACUGGUCGAGUGGUUCUGCGCCGACAAUUUAGUGGGGCUCAAGUACACCGCCGAAGCCGCGGCAACAAUUUUUUGUUGGGUAGGGGAGCGUCGUGCAUGGUGUGAAGCAGUACCGUGAGGGGUUGUGGACUGUGUGCGAGUGAGAAUGCAGGCAUGAGUAACGAGUGUAAGGUGAGAAUCCUUACCGCUGGAUGACUAAGGGUUCCUGGGUCAAGUUCGUCUUCCCAGGGUGAGUCGGGUCCUAAGGCGAGGCCGACAGGCGUAGUCGAUGGUCAACGGGUUGAUAUUCCCGUACCCGCGAAGA